AGAGUUUGAUCCUGGCUCAGGAUGAACGCUGGCGGCGUGCCUAAUACAUGCAAGUCGAGCGAACAGACGAGGAGCUUGCUCCUCUGACGUUAGCGGCGGACGGGUGAGUAACACGUGGAUAACCUACCUAUAAGACUGGGAUAACUUCGGGAAACCGGAGCUAAUACCGGAUAAUAUAUUGAACCGCAUGGUUCAAUAGUGAAAGACGGUUUUGCUGUCACUUAUAGAUGGAUCCGCGCCGCAUUAGCUAGUUGGUAAGGUAACGGCUUACCAAGGCAACGAUGCGUAGCCGACCUGAGAGGGUGAUCGGCCACACUGGAACUGAGACACGGUCCAGACUCCUACGGGAGGCAGCAGUAGGGAAUCUUCCGCAAUGGAGCGAAAGCUUGACGGAGCAACGCCGCGUGAGUGAUGAAGGUCUUCGGAUCGUAAAACUCUGUUAUUAGGGAAGAACAAAUGUGUAAGUAACUAUGCACGUCUUGACGGUACCUAAUCAGAAAGCCACGGCUAACUACGUGCCAGCAGCCGCGGUAAUACGUAGGUGGCAAGCGUUAUCCGGAAUUAUUGGGCGUAAAGCGCGCGUAGGCGGUUUUUUAAGUCUGAUGUGAAAGCCCACGGCUCAACCGUGGAGGGUCAUUGGAAACUGGAAAACUUGAGUGCAGAAGAGGAAAGUGGAAUUCCAUGUGUAGCGGUGAAAUGCGCAGAGAUAUGGAGGAACACCAGUGGCGAAGGCGACUUUCUGGUCUGUAACUGACGCUGAUGUGCGAAAGCGUGGGGAUCAAACCAGGAUUAGAUACCCUGGUAGUCCACGCCGUAAACG
rnacentral:rRNA from 1 species